rfam:Triticum aestivum genome assembly, contig: Triticum_aestivum_CS42_TGACv1_scaffold_576800_7BL
CAAAUACUCCCUUCGUACGAAAAUACUUGUCGAAGAAAUGGAUAAAAAUAGGUGUAUUUAAAAUUAAAAUACGUCUAGAUACAUUCAUUUCUUCGAUAAGUAUUUUUGGACCGAGGGAGUAGUAC